rnacentral:rRNA from 1 species
UACGUAGGGGGCAAGCGUUAUCCGGAAUCAUUGGGCGUAAAGAGCGUGUAGGCGGCCCGAUAAGUCCGCUGUGAAAGUCCAGGGCUCAACCCUGGGAUGCCGGUGGAUACUGUCGGGCUCGAGUCCGGAAGAGGAGUGUGGAAUUCCUGGUGUAGCGGUGAAAUGCGCAGAUAUCAGGAGGAACACCAAUGGCGAAGGCAGCACUCUGGGACGUUACUGACGCUGAGACGCGAAAGCGUGGGGAGCAAACAGG